rnacentral:rRNA from 1 species
GAUGAACGCUGGCGGCGUGCCUAAUACAUGCAAGUCGAGCGAAUGGAUUGAGAGCUUGCUCUUAUGAAGUUAGCGGCGGACGGGUGAGUAACACGUGGGUAACCUGCCCAUAAGACUGGGGUAACUCCGGGAAACCGGGGCUAAUACCGGAUAACAUUUUGAACCGCAUGGUUCGAAAUUGAAAGGCGGCUUCGGCUGUCACUUAUGGAUGGACCCGCGUCGCAUUAGCUAGUUGGUGAGGUAACGGCUCACCAAGGCAACGAUGCGUAGCCGACCUGAGAGGGGGAUAGGCGACACUGGGACUGAGACACGGCCCAGACUCCUACGGGAGGCAGCAGUAGGGAAUCUUCCGCAAUGGACGAAAGUCUGACGGAGCAACGCCGCGUGAGUGAUGAAGGCUUUCGGGUCGUAAAACUCUGUUGUUAGGGAAGAACAAGUGCUAGUUGAAUAAGCUGGCACCUUGACGGUACCUAACCAGAAAGCCACGGCUAACUACGUGCCAGCCGCCGCAGUAA